CUCAAAUGAUUUUUUAAAAUGCUGUGGUAUUUUGACUAUACAAAGGUAUUGUAAUAAGACUUUAAAUGAGUGCUAAAAGAAAGGAAUUACAAAAAAAGGCUUUUUUAAUUUUAAAAAUUAAAAUUAUUUUUUUUUGUGAAGAAACAAAAAUUUAAAUUAAAGACAAGAAGACCCUAAGAAUUUUUUUUUUUAUUAAAAUAAUAUUUUAUUUUAAAAAUUUAAUUGGGGCGAUUAAUUAAUAUUAAAAACUUUAUUAACAAAAAAAAUGAUCCAUUAUUAAUGAUUAUUUGAUUAAAAUACUCUAGGGAUAACAGCGUAAUAAUUUUUGAUAGUUCUUAUAGAAAAAAUAGUUUGCGACCUCGAUGUUGGAUUAGGAUUCUUUUUUAAUGAAGAAGUAAAAAAAGAAG
rnacentral:rRNA from 1 species